UACGUAGGUGGCAAGCGUUAUCCGGAUUUACUGGGUGUAAAGGGCGUGUAGGCGGGGACGCAAGUCAGAUGUGAAAACCACGGGCUCAACCUGUGGCCUGCAUUUGAAACUGUGUUUCUUGAGUACUGGAGAGGCAGACGGAAUUCCUAGUGUAGCGGUGAAAUGCGUAGAUAUUAGGAGGAACACCAGUGGCGAAGGCGGUCUGCUGGGCUUUUACUGACGCUGAGGCUCGAAAGUGUGGGGAGCAAACAGG
rnacentral:rRNA from 1 species